UAACACAUUCAACAGUAGGAUCAUUUCUAUAGGAAUCGUCACUCUUUGACUCUUCAAAAGAGCCACUGAAUCCAACUUGGUUGAUGAGCCCCAUAACCUUUGUACCCUAGAGUGAGAAAUUGAAAUUAAUCGAAAUUAGCUUGGUCCGCAAUCCUUAGCGGUUCGGCCAUCUAUAAUUUUUUAACAAAUUUUGCUUUGCCGUUGCAUUUGUAAUCUCUUCCUCUGGAAGCUUUUACGAUCUUUAAUGGCGCGAUGAUCUUGACCCAUCCUAUGUACUUCCUUUUUGGAAGGGAUAGGGCUUCAUGGGUGGGUACAAAUGGCAGUCUGACAAGU
rnacentral:snoRNA from 22 species